UGACCGACCGACUGAUAGGCUCCCAG
rnacentral:piRNA from 1 species